UAGCUGCGAUACGUGAUGUGAAUUGCAGAAUUCGUGAAUCAUCGAAUCUUUGAACGCAUACUGCGCUUUUGGGUGACCAGAAGCAUGUCUGCUUGAGUGUCAUUUAUACAUCUUCACCUAAAAAAAAUUCUCCUUCUUCCCCGGAAGCUGGAGCGACUUUUCUAAGGUGGAUAUGCAAGUCUUUCUUUGCCUCUGGGUAAAACAAAGUCUUGUGAAAGCUAUUGGAAACAAAAAAAAUUUAAUAAGAGAGAAUGGUUUCCUUUCUCCCUCUAUUUUUUUUCCCCUUUCCUCUCAUGUAAUGAGGUAGAAUUUUACAACAUUACAGCUACGAGUUGGGAUAGAGAAGCUCAUAAAAAAAAGAGGUUGGUUACCUUCCCCCUUUUCAAUAUUUGACCUCAAGUCAGACAAGACUACCCGCUGAACUUAA
rnacentral:misc_RNA from 1 species